rnacentral:rRNA from 1 species
UACGUAGGGGGCGAGCGUUGUCCGGAAUCAUUGGGCGUAAAGCGCGUGUAGGCGGCUUGGUAAGUCCGGUGUGAAACCUUGGGGCUCAACCCCAAGCCUGCACUGGAUACUGCCUCGCUUGAGUCCGGGAGGGAGAGCGGAAUUCCUAGUGUAGCGGUGAAAUGCGCAGAGUAUUAGGAAGAACACCGGUGGCGAAGGCGGCUACUCUGGAACGGUACUGACGCUGAGACGCGAAAGCGUGGGGAGCGAACAGG